UAUUCGGUUGGUGCAAAACUAAUUGCGAUUUUUGCCACUUGAAAGUAAUGGCAAAAACUGCAAUUACUUUUGCACCAACCUAAUAGAAAACCAGUG
ensembl:miRNA